AAAUAAAGGCCAGACCGGGCCAGGCAUGCCAAAGUAUAAAUGGUAUACAGUAAAACUGACCAAUGGCUCAUUAAAUCAGUUAUAGUUUAUUUGGUAAACGAAUUUACAUGGCUAACCGUGGUAAUUCUCCUCCUAAUACAUGCUGUGAAGCCCGACUUCUCCGAAGGGCCCAAUAAUUAAAUAACACACCACCAUCUUCGGCUAUUGUGGUAUAUCAUAGAAACUAAUCCGACCGCAUGGGCUACGCCCGCGACAAAAUCAUCCAGUUUCUGCCCCAUCCGCCUUCGAUGGGAGUGUAUUUGACCUAAUGGCUUUUACGGGAAACGGAGGAUUAUGGUUCUAUUCUCGACAGAGAGCCUCAGAAACAGCUCCCCCAUCUAAAGAAAGCACCAGCCGCGUAAAAAUUACCCUCUGAUUAAGCGAGGAAGUAACGACAAAUAACGGCUCGGGACUUUCUCUCGAGACUGUUUGUUAUCAACAUAUACACCUAUUCCACUAAU
rnacentral:rRNA from 1 species